UUCGUAGGUGGCCAACUAAGUCGGACGUGAAAUCCCUCAGCUUAACUGGGGAACUGCGUCUGAGACUGGAUGGCUUGAGUGCAGGAGAGGAACGCGGAAUUCCAGGUGUAGCGGUGAAAUGCGUAGAUAUCUGGAGGAACACCGGUGGCGAAGGCGGCGUUCUGGACUGCUACUGACACUGAGGAACGAAAGCCAGGGGAGCAAACG
rnacentral:rRNA from 1 species